CCUACGGGGGGCAGCAGUGAGGAAUAUUGGUCAAUGGACGGAAGUCUGAACCAGCCAUGCCGCGUGCAGGAAGACGGCUCUAUGAGUUGUAAACUGCUUUUGUACAAGAGUAAAUCUGAAUACGUGUAUUCUACUGAAAGUACUGUACGAAUAAGGAUCGGCUGACGCCGUGCCAGCAGCCGCGGUAAUACGGAGGAUCCAAGCGUUAUCCGGAUUUAGUGGGGUUAAAGGGUGCGUAGGCGGAUUGAUAAGUUAGAGGUGAAAUGUCCGAGCUUAACUCGGGAACUGCCUCUAAUACUGUUGAUCUAGAGAGUAGAUGAGGUAGGCGGAAUGUAUGGUGUAGCGGUAAAAUGCUUAGAGAUCAAACAGAACACCGAUUGCGAAGGCAGCUUACCAAUCUAUAUCUGACGUUGAGGCACGAAAGCGUGGGGAGCAAACAGGAUUAGAUACCCUAGUAGUC
rnacentral:rRNA from 1 species